GACGAACGCUGGCGGCGUGCUUAACACAUGCAAGUCGAACGGAAAGGCCCCUUUUGGGGUCCUCGAGUGGCGCACGGGUGAGUAACACGUGAGUAACCUGCCCUUGACUUCGGGAUAACUUCAGGAAACUGGGGCUAAUACCGGAUAGGAAUCCUUGCUGCAUGGUGGGGGUUGGAAAGCUUCGGCGGUUUUGGAUGGACUCGCGGCUUAUCAGCUUGUUGGUGGGGUAGUGGCUUACCAAGGCUUUGGCGGGUAGCCGGCCUGAGAGGGCGACCGGCCCCAGUGGGACUGAGAUACGGCCCAGACUCCGACGGGAGGCAGAAGUAGGGAAGAUUGCACAAUGGGCGGAAGCCGGAUGCAGCAACGCCGCGGGCGGGAUGACGGCCUUCGGGUUGUAAACCGAUUUCAGCAGGGGCGAAGCUUGUGGUGACGGUACCUGGAGAAGAAGCACCGGCUAACUACGUG
rnacentral:rRNA from 1 species